UACGUAGGGUGCGAGCGUUAAUCGGAUUUACUGGGCGUAAAGGGCGCGUAGGCGGCGUGGUAAGUCACUUGUGAAAUCUCUGAGCUUAACUCAGAACGGCCAAGUGAUACUGCUGUGCUAGAGUGCAGAAGGGGCAAUCGGAAUUCUUGGUGUAGCGGUGAAAUGCGUAGAUAUCAAGAGGAACACCUGAGGUGAAGACGGGUUGCUGGGCUGACACUGACGCUGAUGCGCGAAAGCCAGGGGAGCAAACGGG
rnacentral:rRNA from 1 species